rnacentral:ncRNA from 1 species
AAAGACUUAGUCCUAACCUUACCGUUAAUUUUUGCUAGAAGUAUACAUGCAAGUAUCCGCAUCCCAGUGUAAAUGCCCUUAGCCUCUUAUCCAAGAAAAAAGGAGCGGACAUCAGGCACACCCACAGCUGUAGCCCAAGACGUCUUGCCUCGCCACACCCCCACGGGUAUUCAGCAGUAACUGACAUUAAGCAAUAAGUGAAAACUUGACUUAGCCAUGGCAAAGCCUAGGGUUGGUAAAUCUUGUGCCAGCCACCGCGGUCAUACAAGAAACCCAAAUUAACGGUUCCCGGCGUAAAGAGUGGUAUCACAUAUAUCAAACCAGCUAAGACCAAAAUGCAACUAAGCUGUCAUAAGCCUAAGAUGUACAUAAGACCACCUUUAAUAUGAUCUUAGCACUUUGAUUGACCUACUCCACGAAAGCCAAGGCACAAACUGGGAUUAGAUACCCCACUAUGCUUGGCCCUAAAUCUAGAUGUUUUCUAUACCAAAACAUCCGCCCGAGAACUACGAGCACAAACGCUUAAAACUCUAAGGACUUGGCGGUGCCCUAAACCCACCUAGAGGAGCCUGUUCUGUAAUCGAUAACCCACGUUAUACCCGACCGCUCCUCGCCAAAUACAGCCUACAUACCGCCGUCGCCAGCUCACCUCUUCUGAGAGUACAACAGUGAGCUCAAUAGCCCCAACCCGCUAACAAGACAGGUCGAGGUAUAGCCUAUGGAGCGGAAGAAAUGGGCUACAUUUUCUAAAAUAGAACAUCCACGAAAAGGGGUGUGAAAUUCCCCCCUAGAAGGCGGAUUUAGCAGUAAAGCGAGACAAUAGUGCCCGCUUUAAGUCGGCCCUAGGGCACGUACAUACCGCCCGUCACCCUCCUCAUAAGCUACAAACCCAAAUAAAUAAUAUAUCUACCAGCUGAAGAUGAGGUAAGUCGUAACAAGGUAAGUGUACCGGAAGGUGUACUUAGCAC